GAUGAACGCUGGCGGCGUGCCUAAUACAUGCAAGUCGAGCGAACAGACGAGGAGCUUGCUCCUCUGACGUUAGCGGCGGACGGGUGAGUAACACGUGGAUAACCUACCUAUAAGACUGGGAUAACUUCGGGAAACCGGAGCUAAUACCGGAUAAUAUAUUGAACCGCAUGGUUCAAUAGUGAAAGACGGUUUUGCUGUCACUUAUAGAUGGUUCCGCGCCGCAUUAGCUAGUUGGUAAGGUAACGGCUUACCAAGGCAACGAUGCGUAGCCGACCUGAGAGGGUGAUCGGCCACACUGGAACUCAGACACGGUCCAGACUCCUACGGGAGGCAGCAGUAGGGAAUCUUCCGCAAUGGGCGAAAGCCUGACGGAGCAACGCCGCGUGAGUGAUGAAGGUCUUCGGAUCGUAAAACUCUGUUAUUAGGGAAGAACAAAUGUGGAAGUAACUAUGCACGUAUUGACGGUACCGAAUCAGAAAGCCACGGCUAACUACGUG
rnacentral:rRNA from 1 species